rnacentral:lncRNA from 1 species
GAUGUCAGCAAGCUGUGUGUGACCUGAGUUAGUUGACAGGACAGGAAACAGCUGAAGGGUUUUAAAACCACUGUUUCCUCGUCUGUGGUGCUUAGCUGUGAAGUUGUUCCUUGCCGUCAUCCUGAACUUUGGUCAAAGCCUAAGACCAACGGUGCUUUGUGCGGAAAAGGAACAGCAGACCUCGACCCGGCACGUUCCUGGGGUUCCAAGAUCUUCUCAGGAAUUGGCCUGAGUGCUUGCUGCCUGCCAGACCCGAUCAAGUGCCUGGCCACUGGAGCCUUACCCCGAACUUGGGGCAGGAUCAUCAUCCCUCAGUCAAAGACCUCACCUGAGUGGUCCUUGGAGCUGAGAGAGGACACAAUGAGAUAAUCCCAGUUUGACUAAAAUAAGGAAACUGAAGCUCAACGAGGUCAAGCGGCGGGCACAAGGUCACAGAGCUAGAAAAGUGGCGAUGAAUGAAUGAUCUGAGUGACUGAAUGAAGACGUGUGACGGGCGCGUGGGGCGAUGGUUCGCGGAGUGUGCU